rnacentral:rRNA from 1 species
UACGUAGGUGGCAAGCGUUGUCCGGAUUUAUUGGGUUUAAAGGGUGCGUAGGCGGCCCUGUAAGUCGGUGCUGAAAUACCCCGGCUUAACCGGGGGGGUGGUAUUGAUACUGCAGGGCUUGAGUACAGAUGAGGUAGGCGGAAUUGACGGUGUAGCGGUGAAAUGCAUAGAUAUCGUCAAGAACACCGAUAGCGAAGGCAGCUUACUGGGCUGUAACUGACGCUGAUGCACGAAAGUGUGGGGAUCAAACAGG